rnacentral:rRNA from 1 species
CCUUACCUACUCUUGACAUCCAGAGAAUUCGCUAGAGAUAGCUUAGUGCCUUCGGGAACUCUGAGACAGGUGCUGCAUGGCUGUCGUCAGCUCGUGUUGUGAAAUGUUGGGUUAAGUCCCGUGACGAGCGCAACCCCUAUCCUUAUUUGCCAGCGAGUAAUGUCGGGAACUUUAAGGAGACUGCCGGUGAUAAACCGGAGGAAGGUGGGGACGACGUCAAGUCAUCAUGGCCCUUACGGGAUGGGCUACACACGUGCUACAAUGGCAGUGACAAUGGGUUAAUCCCAAAAAACUGUCUCAGUCCGGAUUGUUCUCUGCAACUCGAGAGCAUGAAGUCGGAAUCGCUAGUAAUCGCGUAACAGCAUGACGCGGUGAAUACGUUCCC